rnacentral:rRNA from 1 species
CCUGCACCGAAAAUUUAACGGGGCUCAAGUCAUGCGCCGAAGCUGUGGGAUUUGUAUUUAUACAAAUCGGUAGGGGAGCGUUCCCUGUGCGGUGAAGCUGAAUCGAAAGGGUCAGUGGAGCGCAGGGAAGUGAGGAUGUUGGCAUAAGUAACGAAAAUGCGAGCGAGAAACUCGCACGCCGAAAGCCCAAGGUUUCCCGGGCCAUGUUAUUCAGCCCGGGGUUAGUCGGCACCUAAGACGAGGCCGAAAGGCGUAGUCGACGGCAAACCGGUUCAUAUUCCGGUACUUGCACGUGCGCGUGAUGGAGGGACACAGGAGGAUAGGCCGUCCGGGUGAUGGAUAUCCCGGUUCAAGGCAUUAGGCGGAAGUUCCAGGCAAAUCCGGAGCUUCAUUCAACGCCGAGAGCUGAUGACGAGAGGCUUUGCUUCGCAAAGCGGUCGAUUCCACACUGCCAAGAAAAGCUUCUAAGCAUAGCACGGGCGAACCGUACCCCAAACCGACACAGGUGGGCGGGUAGAGAAUACCAAGGCGCUUGAGGGAAAUCAUGUUAAGGAACUCUGCAAAUUGACUCCGUAACUUCGGAAGAAGGAGUGCCUGCAGCGGUAAAGGGACUUGCUCCCCGAGCUUCAGCAGGCCGCAGUGACCAGGCCCAGCCGACUGUUUAGCAAAAACACAGCACUCUGCUAAAUCGCAAGAUGAUGUAUAGGGUGUGACGCCUGCCCGGUGCCGGAAGGUUAAGGGGAGGGGUUAGGUCUUCGGACCAAAGCUCCAAACUGAAGCCCCGGUAAACGGCGGCCGUAACUAUAACGGUCCUAAGGUAGCGAAAUUCCUUGUCGGGUAAGUUCCGACCUGCACGAAUGGCGUAACGAUCUGGGCGCUGUCUCAAUGUGAUUCUCAGUGAAAUUGAAAUGGCGGUGAAGAUACCGUCAACCCGCGGCAAGACGGAAAGACCCCGUGCACCUUUACUGCAGCUUGGCAGUGGACUUGGGAAAGAUUUGUGUAGGAUAGGUGGGAGGCUUUGAAGGGGGGACGCUAGUUCUUCUGGAGCCAUCCUUGAAAUACCACCCUGAUUUUUUCUGUGUUCUAACCUCGUUCCGUGAUCCGGAACAGGGACCCUGUCUGGUGGGCAGUUUGACUGGGGCGGUCGCCUCCCAAAGCGUAACGGAGGCGCGCAAUGGUUCCCUCAGCCGGUUUGGAAAUCCGGCGUAGAGUGCAAAGGCAUAAGGGAGCCUGACUGCAAGAGAGACAUUUCAAGCAGGUACGAAAGUAGGUCUUAGUGAUCCGGUGGUUCCGAGUGGAAGGGCCAUCGCUCAACGGAU